rnacentral:rRNA from 1 species
CCUACGGGAGGCAGCAGUGAGGAAUAUUGGUCAAUGGCCGGAAGGCUGAACCAGCCAUGCCGCGUGAAGGUCAGUGCCCUAUGGGCGGUAAACUUCUUUUGUGCGGGAGCAAUAAUGGUCACGUGUGGCCAGACGAGAGUAUCGUACGAAUAAGGAUCGGCUAACUCCGUGCCAGCAGCCGCGGUAAUACGGAGGAUUCAAGCGUUAUCCGGAUUUAUUGGGUUUAAAGGGUGCGUAGGCGGUUGGGUAAGUUAGAGGUGAAAUCCCGAGGCUCAACCUCGGAAGUGCAUCGGAUACUGUGCGGCUAGAGAGUAGAUGCGGUAGGUGGAAUGUAAGGUGUAGCGGUGAAAUGCGUAGAGAU